rnacentral:rRNA from 1 species
UACGUAGGGGGCAAGCGUUGUCCGGAUUUAUUGGGCGUAAAGAGCGUGUAGGCGGCUAGGUAGGUCCGUUGUGAAAACUCGAGGCUCAACCUCGAGACGCCGAUGGAAACCAUCUGGCUAGAGUCCGGAAGAGGAGAGUGGAAUUCCUGGUGUAGCGGUGAAAUGCGCAGAUACCAGGAAGAACACCCGUGGCUAAGGCGGCUCUCUAGUACGGUACUGACGCUGAGACGCGAAAGCGUGGGGAGCGAACAGG